AUGAUGGCCGGUCAUAGUUUAGUAAAGAUUUUAAGUGGGUUUGCUUGGACUAUGCUAUUUCUGAAUAAUAUUUUCUAUUUCAUAGGAGAUCUUGGUCCCUUAUUUAUAGUUCUAGCAUUAACCGGUCUGGAAUUAGGUGUAGCUAUAUCACAAGCUCAUGUUUCUACGAUCUCAAUUUGUAUUUACUUGAAUGAUGCUACAAAUCUCCAUCAAAAUGAGUCAUUAAAUAAUUGA
rnacentral:rRNA from 1 species